UGAGGAAUAUUGGUCAAUGGGCGCGAGCCUGAACCAGCCCAGUAGCGUGAAGGAUGAAGGUCCUAUGGAUUGUAAACUUCUUUUAUACGGGAAUAAAGUGGUCCACGUGUGGGCUUUUGCAUGUACCGUAUGAAUAAGCAUCGGCUAACUCCGUGCCAGCAGCCGCGGUAAUACGGAGGAUGCGAGCGUUAUCCGGAUUUAUUGGGUUUAAAGGGAGCGCAGACGGGGGAUUAAGUCAGUUGUGAAAGUUUGCGGCUCAACCGUAAAAUUGCAGUUGAUACUGGUUCCCUUGAGUGCAGUUGAGGCAGGCGGAAUUCGUGGUGUAGCGGUGAAAUGCAUAGAUAUCACGAAGAACCCCGAUUGCGAAGGCAGCCUGCUAAGCUGUAACUGACGUUGAGGCUCGAAAGUGUGGGUAUCAAACAGGAUUAGAUACCCUGGUAGUCCACACGGUAAACGAUGGAUACUCGCUGUUGGCGAUAUACUGUCAGCGGCCAAGCGAAAGCAUUAAGUAUCCCACCUGGGGAGUACGCCGGCAACGGUGAAACUCAAAGGAAUUGACGGGGGCCCGCACAAGCGGAGGAACAUGUGGUUUAAUUCGAUGAUACGCGAGGAACCUUACCCGGGCUUAAAUUGCAGACGAAUUACCUGGAAACAGGUAAGCCGCAAGGCGUCUGUGAAGGUGCUGCAUGGUUGUCGUCAGCUCGUGCCGUGAGGUGUCGGCUUAAGUGCCAUAACGAGCGCAACCCUCGUGGCCAGUUACUAGCAGGUAAUGCUGAGGACUCUGGCCAGACUGCCAUCGUAAGAUGCGAGGAAGGUGGGGAUGACGUCAAAUCAGCACGGCCCUUACGUCCGGGGCUACACACGUGUUACAAUGGGAGGUACAGAAGGCAGCUACCCGGCGACGGGAUGCCAAUCUCCAAAGCCUCUCUCAGUUCGGACUGGAGUCUGCAACCCGACUCCACGAAGCUGGAUUCGCUAGUAAUCGCGCAUCAGCCACGGCGCGGUGAAUACGUUCCC
rnacentral:rRNA from 1 species